GCUAAACAUGGCCAAAGUUUUAAAAAAUAAUUUAGAAGAAUGACUGAGAAUUUCUGUGCUGAAAAUCUUAAUUCCGGGUUGGUACACGUCUCGGCUGUUUUUUUUUUCUCGAUCGUGGAUCUAAUGACGUAGACAAGAACGUAAGUCCUUAUAUGAUCAUUUCUCCCGGAAAAGCGUGCCCACGCAAACAGAUUAACCAGAGGAGAGCGAGACCGACUGCAUAGUAUUUGUUCAAGAAUGCCUCCAAAUGCCUUUGGAUGUGAGGGAAAGUUUACCCUGUUCAGCUUCACCAAGAGCCCAGCGUUACAUGAACAGUGGAAGCAGUUUGUUUUCCGAGGCAGCAACGGAGUGUAUCAAGCCCAAGUAAACGCUGGAUUUGGACAUCGUUUGUUAUUAAAACAUGGAGCUGUCUCUGUGAUAAAAGACCCCAUUCAUACUCAUGGUCCAUAUGAAAAGAAGAAAGAAUGAAGAGGAAAAUACACACAGAGAAUUUAAAAGACAUACAAGCUUGCAUUCCAAUGCUUCCGCAAGCUGGAAAAAUACCUUGUAUCACUUAAUGUAACAUCAUUUAAGACCAUUAUGAUACCAUUUUUUGAAUCAUUCAGCAGACAUAUGAAAUUAUACAUACACUUCCUUAAGACAGCAUGCAAAGUAGGUACAUAUUCAUUAAUAAUCACGAUUACAAUAUUAAGGUAAAUCAUCUACAGUCUUAUACAAAUGUCCAAGAUGUUUAAAUAGUAGUCCAACGAACUGCUUAUGAUUCAUUGAUGUUCAGCAAGGUCUACAGCACCCUCCGUUGGUGACUAAUUAUACAGCCCAUACAGAGCGCUCCUUGGACCAGCUAUUCUUAUUGGUCAAAUUUCUGAGUCUUGUUUAGGUUCUGGGAAUGUUGCUGUCAGUUGAGUAUAACAGCAGAGGGCAGCACAGGACAGAUAAUGUUUUCAUGUUCAUCGCUUCACACCCUAACCACAUUUUCACUGUGGUCAUCAUAACUCAUAAGUCAUUUAGUUGCAUGAAAAAUGCGUUUGUUGUGGUUGAUUAGACUUGAAAACCACUAAAAAUAAUAAGCAUUGUAUUGUCCUGUUAUUCACGUUUCUUUCAAGGCUGUGGUUUGUUCUGGCAGUUGUUGUUGUUGUUGUUGUUUUAACAUGAGUGCCAUUGGAAUUUCUGUUAUGUAAUUCUGGUUAUUUGCUCAGCCACUAGAGACAUAUGUUAAAUCAUGUAAUGGAAAGACCAGAUAGUGUGAAGGCAGGAUGUAGAAAAGGAAGGAAGGAACUAUAAGGGGUAUCAGUUAUAGAUGUAGGAGUUAUAGAGUUUGCAGAUGUUUUUCUUGUGUAUUAUAUUUACAAUGAAAACAAUGACAUUCCAAUACUCCUCAGAGAACAGUGUCAUUUUUUUGCUUGCAAACCCUU